GUCUAUGGCCAUACCACCCUGAACAGCCGGAUCUUGUCUGAUCUCAGAAGCUAACCACGGUCGGGCCUGAUUAGUACUUGGAUGGGAGACAUAUGCC
rnacentral:rRNA from 1 species